rnacentral:rRNA from 1 species
UACGAAGGGGGCUAGCGUUGUUCGGAAUCACUGGGCGUAAAGCGCACGCAGGCGGAUCGUUAAGUCAGGGGUGAAAUCCCGAGGCUCAACCUCGGAACUGCCUUUGAUACUGGCGAUCUUUGAGUCCGGGAGAGGUGAGUGGAACUCCGAGUGUAGAGGUGAAAUUCGUAGAUAUUCGGAAGAACACCAGUGGCGAAGGCGGCUCACUGGCCCGGUACUGACGCUCAUGUGCGGAAGCGUGGGGAGCAAACAGG